rnacentral:rRNA from 1 species
ACACGUGGGAACGUGCCCUUUGGUUCGGAACAACCCAGGGAAACUUGGGCUAAUACCGGAUAAGCCCGUACGGGGAAAGAUUAUCGCCGAAGGAUCGGCCCGCGUCUGAUUAGCUUGUUGGUGAGGUAACGGCUCACCAAGGCGACGAUCAGUAGCUGGUCUGAGAGGAUGAUCAGCCUCACUGGGACUGAGACACGGCCC